AGCGCUAAUUCUCAAAUAAUACGAAAAAUUUCACGUUAAAAUUCGUCUCAACGUUGAAAUUAUUAUACAUAAUCAAAUUAUAUCACUAUCGUUUUGUUUACAUAUACGUAAAGGCGCGACACGUAUAUUUAUAUAUUCUUGUAUAUUUAUGCUCGAAUCGAACGUCAUUGGAUCGGUGUUUCGAUUCUGUUUCGUUUGUUUUGAAUUGCGACGCGACACUGCGAAGCAGUUCAGUAGAAGGAAGGCAUCGGCACGAUCCACAUCUUACAGUUGAGAGCCCCUUCGUCUGGUGCGGCGUUCCUCGUCAGGGCCCAAAACAGGCGGAGGGACGACCUUUGGCGAAACGACCGGCACAGUGGACGCCUCCAAAUUCAUCAUACUUUCAUCUUCGGCUCCGACUUCGUACGGCUUCACCACUCGGAACGACAAUCUGCGAGUGGCCGGCCUUUCCUCCGGAGGUUUCCUGCCUCCUGGGGAAAAAAAAGAAAAAUUUCCUCCCUUAAAUAUGUAUACUCGUUUAAUUUAAUUCCUCGUGUAUCUCCGCGCAUAGUCGGAAAUUAUUUUUAUUCACGUACGAACACGCUACACGUUAUUUCGAAUCAACGUUUCAACGGGCGAAUUAACGACGCGUUUCGAAAUUCGUUCGUUUAUUCGAAAUUCUUGCCCCACAGGGAUCGGUCAAGUCCAUUGUAUUUGCGUAUUUUGAUCCGGUUGGCUGGUAUUUUAAUAAUUUAACGUAAUAAUCUAUUAUACCUCGUCGAACGUGUAUAAUACCCCGGUUAAUAUUUACGCGCUAAAGUUCAAUAAUUGUGUAAACUGAUUAUAGUGUAAUAUUAAUUUGCAUGCGUGUAGAUAAAUAUUUGUAUGAAAGAAACGAAAGGAAAGAAAGAGGAGGGAUAUCGUCGAUACCCGAGUUGGCGUUCAAUUUCGAUUUAAGGAUGGUAUUAACAAUUUUCGUGAUCACGAAUCUCCUUAACUCGAUUCCGGUUUAAACCGAAUUAAAGUCUCGAAUGGAGGCUGGUUAACAAGCGCACGAAUUAAUUACGAACGGCGUUCGCCUCGUUACAAAGUAUUUCGACUAUUAGAGAUUAAAGUUCGAGUUGGAGAUCCGGUUGAAAUUAGAUGAAAUUAGCCUGGUGGACACGGAUGUGACUAACUGGGAGCCGCGCCGCGCGGGGGUUAAGCAAGUUAAACUCGAUUACAACUCGACUUUCGCCAAGGAUCGCAUCGAAUGGUCGAUCGUUAAUGGUCGAAGGUCGUCUUAAGUGUUGCGCUCGUAAAAGUAUCGCGUUACGUCUUGGCGAACAAAACGCUCCGAGCGGAUUAAAGUUUCCCGCACAAAUUUGCGAAAGAAACGGAACCAAACGUCGCGUUUCGAUCUUCCAUCGAAUAUGGGAUUUUUAGCUUUUGAAAUAGAGAAUUUUUUGGUAAAAUGUGGUACUCGAUAAACUGUUAUACUCGAAGAAUCGUGUGGGUAAAUAACUUGUAUAAGUAAACUUUGAAUUUGAAGAAGAAAUAUCGUGAGAAAUGGCGCUUAUGACAUUUUGAAAAGGUCAUUGAUUGGCAGAACAUGUUUUUUCGAGAUGUUUUGUUUUCAACUUGGAAGAAAGAGAAAUAGCGUGAUCUUUUCGAAAAAUUCAAAGGCCACUCUCCCUUGGAAAAAGUUUGUUCAGGAAGACUAUAUUUUUUACAAUAAUUUGUAACGAACGUUUAUUUUCAAUCUCCUUGAGGAGGAGAUAUCUUUUCGAAAAAUUCGAACAGUUUCUCAUACGUUCAAAUUUCGUCUCGCCCUCUCCUUUUUAUUUUACCUUUCCUAAGAAAAAUCCCAAGGAAAAGUCCCAAAAUUUGGUCACGUUUUGGAAAAUCAAUUUGAAUGACGAUCUCUUUUGACGAUACCUUCGAAAAAUUCGAAGACCUUUUCAAAAGUACGUCGUGGAGUGAUAUUUCGGAAAAAAAUCAAUGAUUGAUGGAAAAAAAAAAUGAAAGUUUUUUUAUUGUUUGCAAUAGUUGAUAGCUUUUGGAAAAAUACGUAGAAGAUAGUUAAUUCGUCGAAAAUCUUCGUGUUUAAUUUAGCUACAUAAAUUAAAGAUACCUUUUCGAUUGAAGGAAUUUCGAUGCUCGAUAACUUGGAAUUAAAAUUAAAAUUUGUUUCGUUCUUUAUUUUCAUAAUCACCUCUAUUAAUUACACGACCGUCAUCAUGGGUCAUCCGACAUCAUUUCCAAUAUAUCUCUAUUCAACGCGUUAAUAUCGGACGAUAUAUAAAUAUUUAAAUACACGCGAUGAGAAUAAUUAUCGCUUUUCAUACUUGGUCGCAUUAAAUUUAAUUUCAUCUGUAUCGGCGGCCUAUGAAAAUGACAAAGAUUCGCGGAUAACGCGGUUAAUAAUCGGCAUUCACCGGAUACGCGUUACACCCUAAUGGAAAACUGCAAUUUAUCAACUACUUACAUACGACACCGUUUAAUUGAAGAGGGAAUUAAUUAAUGCGGCCGCGGUAAUCGUAAAUUAUCCAUAAUUUUCUCCCUUCCCCGAUAAAAAGAAAAGAGAGAAAAGAAAAAAAAUUGUGUUAAUACGCUUAAUCACGAAAUACCGAUAUACCGCUCGCCUGCGUCUCCAAACGAACGAUGAAAACGUGUCCAACAAACACGAUGUCACACGAUGUCGCGUAUUCCCGAUCGAGAUAUUUCUUCGUUUCAUAUUAUUAUCCUAUAUAGAGAGAAUACAAAUUAUCGUUUCACUUAUGAUUUUUCAAAAAAUCGAUAAGUGUUGACAAUAAAUUAUUAGUUAGCUAGUUGUGGAGAGUGGAGAGAUUCGUACAAUUUUUACGACUUAAUUAUAACGAGAAUAUUACAACGUCCGAUCACGCUUUCCCAUUCCGAUUAAUUUUCGUUGGUCACGCGUCGAGUAUGUUUCGCUUCGUACGAAAGAAAUAAUGGAAACGGCGCGAGAUCGAGAGAUAAUCCUGUUAAUCGAGAUCUUAACGAAACGAGGUGAACAGGACUUUAAUACAUCUUCUUUUUUUAUUAUCGUAUUUAACCGUGGCUUGAAAAUUAAAACGCGUCUCUUAUAUUUUUUUUCAAUACGAUCGUUAUUUAUCGGAUAUAUAUGCGCGGUAUCGAUUCACGCGAUACGACGUCCUCAUUGAUGUCACAGAUGCGUGACAACGGCAAUUUUAUGAGCCCAUAAAUAAACGAAGUUUAAUAACUACAGGCAAACACUAUAUCUAUAUCCAGCAGAGUAUCCAUUAUUCAAACACCUAUUAUCCAAACGUUCUAUUAUCCGCAUAAGUUGCUGUCCGAAUGUUUCAUUGUUUGAACGGUUAUAUUUGCUUUGUUACUUUGAUAUGAAUUGAUAUUGCUCCCGUUAAAAAACAAAAUCCACACCGUUCCGCAUCGCAUACAUUCUCAACAAUGGAUUAAUUAAUUAACGAACGAUAUACGAAUAUACGAUAAAAAUUCCGAGUACACAAUUUCAAAAAGAAGAAAAACGAGAUAAAUGUUUAUAACAUUUCUAUAGAUACCUGAUAUCAAUGAUUCAGUUAGAUCGAUCCGUUUUCGAACAAAACCUGAAUAGUUUUCGAUAAUGGACUAAUUAAUUGACGAUUCCAUCGCAAUCUAGAAUUUUCAACGAUAAAUUAAUUAAUUACCAACGAUAAUAAUAAAUAAAUCUUUCUUUCACAUGAUUCUAUAGAUAUCUAAUAUCGAUGAUUCAAUUAGAUCGAUCCGUUUUUCGAACAAAACCUAAAUAUUUUUCGAUAAUGGAUUGAUUGAUUGACCGGCACACGAACAAAAUUAUAACACGAACGAUUUCUAUCGCAUCGUUUUCGAAAACCUACGAUUUUCAACGUUCGUAAAUGAACAAAAAAAAAAGAAUAAAAUUAAAUAAAUUUUUAUUCCACGCAUUUCUAUGGAUACCUGAUAUCAAUGUUUCAAUUAGAUACUUUUCGAUAAUGGAUCGAUCAAUUAAUCAACAGAGGGAAAAUUCCAAAUCCUAUGACAUCCAUCGCAUUAUUUUCGAAAACUUAUGAUUUUCGUAACGUUCGCGAAUGAACAGAAGAAAAGAAUACAACGAAAUAAACUUUAUUCCACGCAUUUCUAUGGAUACCUGAUAUCAAUGAUUCAAUUUUCGAUAAUAGAUUAAUUGAUUAAUAAUUCCAUCACAAUCUAAGAUUUCCAAGGUUCGCGAAUAUACUGAAAAGAAUACAACGAAAUAAACCUUUACUCCACGUAUUUCUAUGGAUACCUAAUAAUUAAAUCGAUCCGUUUUCGAACAAAAUCUAAAUAAUUUUCGAUAAUAGAUUAAUUGAUUAAUAAUUCCAUCACAAUCUAAGAUUUCCAAGGUUCGCGAAUGAAAAGAAUACAACGAAAUAAACCUUUACUCUACGCAUUUCUAUCAAUACCUGAUAUCAAUGAUUCAAUUUGAAAAUCUAAAUAAUUUUCGAUAAUAAAUCAAUUAAAUAAUAAUUCCA